AAGAAUGUAAAGUUUUCCACUGCCCUUUAAGAUCUGAAGAUUUAACAGAGAAUAGUUUGUCCUGAAGCUGGGAGUGCCUUUCCUGGGAUGGUAGCUGACUAGGUUUUGUUGAGGGAGAGAGAAUAAUGGUGAGCUGAGAAAUACCAAGAAUAACUGCUUCAGUAUCUUAAAAAAGUUCAUUUUUCUUCCUCUGCAUGCAGCUGCAAAUCAAAUCCAUUAUGGAUCAUUUAAAUUCUAUACUUCCAGCUUUGCAUGUGUAAUGCCAAAAGCAGUUCUGCCAUUGCUUUUUUUCUUAAUAAGAAAAAAAUUCACUGCUGCUGUUACCUAGAAAGUAAGGAGGAGACAGAUGAGAAAAAUAAGGAAAUUAUAGUCUCCUCACUAAUACCUCCCUUAAUGUUUGCAAGAAGGAGGCUAGUACAAUUGCGCCGUAUUUUAAGACAAAUUAUUUUAAGUGCAUUGAGUGUUAUUUUGAAAGUUGGAUUUGCACUUACUGAGGCUCUGCAUUCGUAACACUGUCUCAGGGAGCAGAGUAUGGUGAAGAAUGAUUGCUAUUACAAGAGCAAUUAUAACAUGAUUCAGCAUAGUUAGGAGCUAAGUUAUACGAGUGUGAGUGAGUGUAGGUAUAGGGGUGGGUGUGGUUUCUUCCAAAUAUCAGAAAGCAAAAUUGUUUCUCUCUAGUAAUCUCUGUAGUUUUUCCACCAGCUUUCAACCUUAUUGUGAAGUUUGUUAGACCAAUGAUUUUUACACAUGAUGGUACUGCUGAAAAACAACAACAGUGUGCUACAGAAUAGUCUCCCAAGAGAAUCAGUAGAACCUCAAUCACUUGGUACAUCUAAAAUAGACCAGACAAAAACACUAGUAGGUGUGAGUCAGGAACAAUCUCACACUGGGAAGGAGAUGGACUAGAUGACUGGUUUUUCCCCCCGUUCUAAUUUCUGUGAUUCUGAAGGACUCCAGUCUGUGUUGUUCUUCUUUCACUUUCAGUUGCAACCCCACUGAAAAAGGGAAAGUUCCAUGGGGGUUUCUUGAGCCUGUUCCUAUGCUGCUGCCCCUAAAAGGACAGAGGGGAAACAGCAAGAAGGAGAUCUGAAGUUCAGGACAGCAGCAGAGACAAGAGGAACUUGUCCUUCGAUCUCCUGGAGAUAGGAAGGCAGAGUCACUUUUGUGAGGGUGAAGGGCUGCUCUCAGUGUCUUCCUAAGCCCUACUGGUGCAAAAUACCACUCAAGCACAAUUUAUAAACUCUGCAGCACGGAAAAGCAACAGUCAUUGCACAGGUCCAAAAUGCCACAGGAAUAUGCAGCAUGGGAGUUCUGAAAUUUAGCCACCUCCACUUCUAAUCCUCCUUGCCUAUCACCAGCUGGCCCAUACAAACCAAAAUGCCUCCUUUCUUGCGCCGCACCUGAGAUGCACAGGAGUGUUAUUCCUCAGCUAGGAUGCAAGGAAUAAUGGUGAGUCAUGCACAUGGACACAGGAUCAGAAAACCUUCCAUUCUGCAAAUGGUAAUAUUAAGGUCAGAAGAAGGAUGGAACUAUCACCUGUAUGACACAAUACUCUCUGAUCAAAGACCCAUAUUCAUGGCUUCAACUCCUCAAGCAUUCUGAUAUUCAGCAAAAUGAAGUGCCUGGCAUGUCCUAGAGGUUAACUUCAAGAAAAAAAGCACAAGGUCUGGAGAUGAUGGCCUGUUGAGCUACCUACGAGACAAAGUAAAUUGGAAGCUGUGCCAGUUACUGAUGACUGACAGGUACACCCUGCCUCCUGGACUGCAAAGAUUGGAAUGGUGAAGUGGGGCAGCCGGUAGCUACUUACCUGUUGCUAAUUGACCUACUCUUCUAUCGUUCACGGUGGUGACAAGGAAAGACCCAAGACAUCUUCCAUCUGACGGGUCAACUGUUCAGCAAUGCUGGGACAGGAAAAGACCCCAAUCCUGCUACUGCAGCCUUUCAUUGACAGAAGACCGUGGACUAACACUGAGACCAGAUUGCACUGUGCAGUAACUCUUGAAAUGUCUCUUUCUGCUGGCUUUUUUAAUUUGCCUUUUGUUUCUGGAAUUGUUGUUCCACCCAUUAUUAUUUCUUCCUUGAAUUAUGAAACUGAAUAUUGUAGUG